GGAAGUAGCUCAGUGGUAGAGCACUUGCCUAGUAUGUAUGAGGUCUGGGGGGUCAAUCCCUAGUACUACCA
rnacentral:tRNA from 1 species